rnacentral:snoRNA from 1 species
AUCCUUUGUAGCUCAUAAGUGUGAUUAGUAGGAUUUCACACUCAUGUGUGAGACGUGCCUCCCUCAAACCUUAUAAAUGAUGAUGGUACCUUAAAA